rnacentral:misc_RNA from 1 species
CCGGAAUCGCAAGACUCCCACACCCUGUGAACCUACCGAACGUUGCCUCGGCGGGCGCUGCGGUGCCGGACCCCUAGGGGUCUGGCCCCGGGGCGCUAGCCCGCCGGUGGCCCCUGACCCUGUCUCUAGCGCUGUAUCUCGGAGUCCCUAGAAUGCUAA